rnacentral:lncRNA from 1 species
UGCUCUGCUCAUUUUCAGUCGAUCAAAAGCUGAUUUGGAUGAAGACCAGUGGACUGGCGUGGAGAUAACUCGACGGGCUGCAGAGGUCUCAUAGGUUAUCCUUCAUAAGAGUAUGACUUGAAGAAAAACUCGACGAGUUGGUCCGGAUAAAGAUCGAUUGACUGGAGGAUCCAAAGAUAACUUGAUAGGUCGUGGAGGUCCCAUAGGUUGUCCUCCAUAGGAAUACAACUUAGAAAAAAACUCAACGAGCUGGUCUGGAUAGAGAUCGACGGACUGAAGGACACAGAGAUAACUCGAUGGGCUGCGAAGGUCCCAUAGGUUGUCCUCCAUAGGAGUACAGCUUAGAGAAAAACUUAAUGAGCUG